AGGUAACAUGAGAGCUUGCUCUUGAUGACGAGUGGCGCACGGGUGCGUAACGCGUAUGCAAUCUACCUAUAACUGAGGAAUAGCCCAGAGAAAUUUGGAUUAAUACCUCAUAAUAAUAUCUUUUGGCAUCAUUAGAUAUUUAAAACUCCGGUGGUUAUAGAUGAGCAUGCGUUCUAUUAGUUUGUUGGUGAGGUAAAGGCUCACCAAGACUUCGAUAGAUAGGGGGCCUGAAAGGGUGAUCCCCCACACUGGUACUGAGACACGGACCAGACUCCUACGGGAGGCAGCAGUGAGGAAUAUUGCACAAUGGAGGAAACUCUGAUGCAGCCAUGCCGCGUGCAGGAUGACGGCCCUACGGGUUGUAAACUGCUUUUUUACAAGAAGAAACCUUGGUACGUGUACCAACUUGACGGUAUUGUAAGAAUAAGCACCGGCUAACUCCGUGCCAGCAGCCGCGGUAAUACGGAGGGUGCAAGCGUUAUCCGGAUUUAUUAGGUUUAAAGGGUUCGCAGGCGGAAUUUUAAGUCAGUGGUGAAAGCCUAUAGCUCAACUAUAGAACUGCCACUGAUACUGAUAUUCUUGAGUAUAGAUGAAGUGGGCGGAAUAUGUCAUGUAGCGGUGAAAUGCAUAGAUAUGACAUGGAACACCAAUUGCGAAGGCAGCUCACUAAACUAUUACUGACGCUCAUGAACGAAAGCAUGGGGAGCGAACAGGAUUAGAUACCCUGGUAGUCCAUGCCGUAAACGAUGAUCACUAGACGUUGGCGAUAUAAUGUCAGUGUUUAAGAGAAAUCAUUAAGUGAUCCACCUGNNNGUACGUUCGCAAGAAUGAAACUCAAAGGAAUUGACGGGGGCCCGCACAAGCGGANGAACAUGUGGUUUAAUUCGAUGAUACGCGAGGAACCUUACCAAGGCUUAAAUGUAGAUUGACAGAUUGUGAAAACAGUUUUUCUUCGGACAAUUUACNAGGUGCUGCAUGGUUGUCGUCAGCUCGUGCCGUGAGGUGUCGGGNUAAGUCCCAUAACGAGCGCAACCCCUAUUUUAGUUACCAGCGAGUAAUGUCGGGNACU
rnacentral:rRNA from 1 species